rnacentral:rRNA from 1 species
UACGGGGGGGGCAAGCGUUGUUCGGAAUUACUGGGCGUAAAGGGCUCGUAGGCGGCCAACUAAGUCAGACGUGAAAUCCCUCGGCUUAACCGGGGAACUGCAUCUGAUACUGGAUGGCUUGAGUUCGGGAGAGGGAUGCGGAAUUCCAGGUGCAGCGGUGAAAUGCGUAGAUAUCUGGAGGAACACCGGUGGCGAAGGCGGCAUCCUGGACCGACACUGACGCUGAGGCGCGAAAGCUAGGGGAGCAAACGGG